AUUGAACGCUGGCGGCAGGCUUAACAAAUGCAAGUCGAGCGCGCGGCGGACGGGUGAGUAAUGUCUGGGAAACUGCCUGAUGGAGGGGGAUAACUACUGGAAAAGGUAGCUAAUACCGCAUACCAUCAGAAGGGCCAAAGUGGGAACAGCUAGUAGCUGGGGUAAUGGCCCAGCUAGGCGACGAUCCCGAGCUGGUCUGAGAGGAUGACCAGCCCCACUGGAACUGAGACACGGUCCAGACUCCUACGGGAGGCAGCAGUGGGGAAUAUUGCACAAUGGGCGCAAGCCUGAUGCAGCCAUGCCGCGUGUGUGAAGAAGGCCUUCGGGUUGUAAAGCACUUUCAGCGAGGAGGCGUUACUCGCAGAAGAAGCACCGGCUAACUCCGUGCCAGCAGCCGCGGUAAUAC
rnacentral:rRNA from 1 species